UUACCUACGGGGGGCAGCAGUGAGGAAUAUUGGUCAAUGGGCGGAAGCCUGAACCAGCCAAGUCGCGUGAGGGAAUAAGGCCCUACGGGUCGUAAACCUCUUUUGCCGGGGAGCAAGGGCCGGGACGCGUCCCGGCCCGGAGAGUACCCGGAGAAAAAGCAUCGGCUAACUACGUGCCAGCAGCCGCGGUAAUACGUAGGGGGCAAGCGUUAUCCGGAUUUACUGGGUGUAAAGGGAGCGUAGACGGAAUUGCAAGUCUGAUGUGAAAAUCCGGGGCCCAACCCCGGAACUGCAUUGGAAACUGU
rnacentral:rRNA from 1 species